CUGAAAAUACCGGUUCUCGUUUGAUCACCGAAGUUAAGCGGCGCUGACCCCAGUCAGUACUUAGAGUGACCGCUUGGGGACACCAGGUAUUGUAA